GGUCCUACGCGUUUUGUUCCUAUAAUUAGGAACUUCCUCAGGGACCAAAGUUUAACAAAACAACAAUAAAAACAAUCAAUACAAAAAAUGCAUACAAUAUUCCCCCCCUCUGAGUCUCUAUAAAUAGGGCUAUACCCUCAGUUCAUUGGUGGAUCCUGUGGGAGUUGCUGGCAAUCCUAUGGUCCUAUUUAGGUGUGAGAAGUCCUGUAAUCCCCUUCAGGUAUGGAGUAGGUGUUCCCUUGUCUCAUCUGGGCGCGAAGAGGUGAAAACCGGAAACCAUAAGUGACCUCCGUUAUGCACUUCCGCGUUCCACAUGCGUUCCAAUUCGGUCAGAAAAAAAAAAUUCAUAUUGCCACUUAGAGGUCGCCCAAUGUAUGGCUUCUUAAUAACAGAAAUGAAAGGGAAAAAAAAGGAAACACUUGUUGGCAGAAAAACCCCUAGCAGAAAGAAGGGAGAUUAGUGAUAAUCAUACAAAAUCCUUAAUGUUUAAUUAAAGAGAGGAUAUAUACAAUUCUAAGAUUUGAUUAUAAAGUUAUAUACAAUUAUAUGUGAAUGUCAAUUCAUAGUCUUUUCAUAAUCUUAAACUGUUUAGGUAAAAUAUGUAGAUAGAAAAGAGGAUAUUUACAGUUCUAAAUUUCACAUUCCUGUAAUUCAAUUGUAAAAAUAUGUGGGUAUAUGUGUAAAUGUAAAUUCAUCAUCUUUAACUUAUCAAGUAAAAGUGUAUCUUGUGAUCAUAGGGAAGCCUCAUUCAGAUUCAUUUUUUCUUUACAUUAAUACCUGGUUAGGAAGGUUUUUUAAAUCGUCAACGGGAGACGUUCUGGAUACAUAAACUACAGACUCUAUAUCCCAAGGUAUUAAAUAUUGAUAUAGAUCUUGUAUAGAUGUGUUUUCUGGAUUAAUAUACAUUUUUUCUUUACAUUAAUGCCUGGUUAGGAAGGUUUUUUCAAUCACUGGGCCACGACCUUGAGAGGCUGUUUUGAUUGAUCAUUUCAGAUAAGUAUAUUUGGAUACCAAUCCUUUUUCUUACUAUAUUAUAGUGAAAUAAGAGGUAUUGCAUAUAUACUAUUUUCUCUGUUGUAAGUCCCUGCCAGAUGUCAAGGGUCCUCCAGUGGCCUUUGACAACAUCCGGCUUCUGCAGAACAAAAAUAGGAGACUUAAUGGACUAGCAGGCAGACAGUUUAGACUGUCCAACCUCUUCUUGGACAAUAGGGAAAUGCCCUGGUUAAACAAUUAAAUUGAGGGUGGAAAAAAAUGCACAAAAUGAUUAAGGCUGAAAGGAGCCAACAGAGUAAGCUAAAUUAGCAGAAGUGUUGUCUCAAUUCAUUGUAUCAAUUCUUUCCUAGGUGGUUUAAGCAGACCCUGGAUGUCCUCAUGCAUACCAUGAGGACGUCCAGCAUCAAUUAGGUGACUCAAUGACAAAAACGCAAACAUCACUGACAGACACAGACUCACUAAUUUCACACACAUUCACUGACACACACACACACUGACAGACACACAAACACUGACAGACACACACUGAUAGUCACACACACACACACUCAAUGACAGACACUCACAAACAUACACACACACUUAAAGACACACACACUCACAGACACACACACACACACACACACAUACAUGCACUAACAGACAUACACACUCAUAAACAGACACGGUUACGGUAACAGGGGGUUAGUAAGAGUCUAUUUCAAUGUUUUAAAACUUACCCCCUUGCUGCUAAUACUACCAGUCAGAUGGUUGAGGAGACUAUACAGGGAGAGUCAGGCUGUCCAAAUAGGAAGGGAAGAUCCCCAGGUGGCUGUUAAGAUUUCCAAGGCUAUGGAAAGCAGAAGAGGACAGUGUGACACUGGCUAGCUUCCAUCCAGGUCUUGAGGGAUGUCCCCAGGACCUGGGUAAUAUAGGGAUAUAUUUAAUCAGAGAGUGGGGUGACCGAUUCUGCCACCGUGCUGGAGCCCACAUGGGCUUGUGGAGUCUACUCAGGAGGACCUGGAGAAGGAGAAGAGCGGUGGAAGCUGGGCCAAUCAGGGUCAGGAGUGCAGGGGAGUCUGAGGGAGGUGGAAGUCGUGCCUUCCUCUUAACAUCAUCAGGAGUAGGCAGCUGGUUCCACCUCCAUUCUGCAGCAGACAAGGAGAGCAAGGUAGGCUGCAGACAUUUUUGCAUCUCCCUGUUCUGGUGCGCUAAGGCUUAUGGAUGUGCUGGCCCUGACAAUCACGGCAAUAGACAAGUUGGGUUGAGCAGCACUUGGUCAGAUAACAGUAGAGUUUUGGCCAACAUGGCUUCUUAGCCAGAUAAAAG